ensembl:miRNA
UGGCCUGAUGGGGAAUGAAGAUGAACUGUUCUUCCUCACCAGUGCCUCAGUGUUGAAAGUUGAGCACUGCAAGAGGGAGAGAGAUCAUGGUCAUUCUUUGUCCCAGGAAC